rnacentral:lncRNA from 1 species
CUGAAACGGUCUGCUUUCUUCCAAAGGAAACUGCUAAGAAUGUUCUAAGAACUUUUAAACUUCUAAGAGAAGCCAAAAAGGAAACAGGAACAGAUGCACCCGUGACAACCGAUGGAUGCACAGAAAACAGAUUCCCACCUGGGGACAGAAAGGAACCGAGGGGUCUCCCGUGAGGUCCAGACAAGAAAGCGCCUUUCAAUGCUGGCAUUCUAACAAUAGUUCAGAAAGAUUUCCAGAGCCACCCUACCCUCCCAGGCUCUGUCCUCUGCAAGAUGCUCUCACGCCAAUUAUUGCAACGGUGAGCACGCGGGACUUGAUGGAGGGACGGGGCCAUGGGCACCUCGGCGUUUCCUCCAAGUGCUCCUGCGCUGCUCUCUGGCCUGGCCAGCUGGACCCCAUCACACAGCAGCUCUGAUUUACGGGCCGUGGUGGGGACAUCGCUCAGGUGAGGAAGACGUGCC